AAGAAAUACAUAUAGAUGGGUGCAAUUUCAUGGGUCUAUAAUAACAUUAAACACAUUGCAAUUUCAUUUUCAGUGAACUCAAUAUGUGAUUGAACCAAUUUUUCUAUAUAUCAUCUGAACCUGAGAAUCAUUUACCUGUGCAUAAUCACCAAAGGGCGGAGAAUAAGCAAUGCACUUCUCCAACGUAUGCUGCGAUUCAUUUCCCUGAGAGAUUGCAUCCAGAAUGUUGCUUGAAAUUCCAGUGUAGAAAUGCAGGGGAGAUGGGUGAGUUCAUCAGAUGAGGCAAGCUGUGAGGGGUUCCAAGCACUGCUUUAAGAAAAUAAAAAUAAAAAUUUAACUGUAUAAUAUGUGAAAUUAAAUA
rnacentral:lncRNA from 1 species